AUUUUCCUGCUAUUUAUAGGAAGUGUACAUGAAAAUUGCAUCUUUUUUGUUUUUAUUUGCAUAAAGUAGAGUCUUGUCUUAAUAUUAAAAGGAAAAAUUAUGCAUUUAUUUUUUUGAGAAUUUUUUUGGUGAGACUUUUUAAUAGGGGGAGGUAACUCCCAAAACAUCCGGUUUUCACAUGUGCAGAAUUGCAUGUUUGAAGUAGCAGGGGUCAGUUUUGCUUGUCCCUCACCAAGUAACUUCCUGAUAACGUCAUACAUUAAACUGUGUUUUGCACCC